rnacentral:misc_RNA from 1 species
UACGGAGGGUGCAAGCGUUAUCCGGAUUCACUGGGUUUAAAGGGUGCGUAGGCGGGCAUGUAAGUCAGUGGUGAAAUCUUCGAGCUUAACUCGGAAACUGCCGUUGAUACUAUAUGUCUUGAAUGUUGUGGAGGUGAGCGGAAUAUGUCAUGUAGCGGUGAAAUGCUUAGAUAUGACAUAGAACACCAAUUGCGAAGGCAGCUUGCUACACAAAUAUUGACGCUGAGGCACGAAAGCGUGGGGAUCAAACAGG